rnacentral:misc_RNA from 1 species
GUUCACUCUUAUUUUCCGUUUUAUCCAAGUCUAUCAUGACCUGGUCAAUCUGAGAUUGAAGAGUUGGAUCCAUACCAACCAAUGCCACUGAAAUUUUCUCAUUAAUAUUCUUGACAGCUCUAUUCACACUAUUUCCAAGAUAAGUUCCUUUUUCUCCAUCACGUAGUUCAAUCGCCUCAUACAUUCCAGAAGAAGCACCACUGGGAGCAGAAGCACGGAAGAGUCCUUUGUUAGUAUGCAAAUCAACUUCGACGGUCGGAAUCCCUCUACUAUCCAAUAUCUGCCGGGCUUUCACCUUAGUUAUCACCGAAGGUACAGCUUUCCUCAUGUGAUUCGAAAUGAAGAGGACGGGAUCGGAAGUUUUAGCUCUAACGGCGGCAUUGACAGCGUCUUCGAUUCUCCGAGAUAGCAAGUGCUUAUCCAGAUAUUCCUGCACCGACA